ACAAAAAGAAAAAAAUUUAAAAACAGAUAUGAAUAAAGAAUUAAAUUGUGAUAAAAAUAAAACCGUUUUAGAUAAGCUUAUGAAAAAACAACAAAAAAUAAUAAACAAAGCAACUAACACAAUUCAGUUGGGUACAAAAAAUUUAACACAAUUAACAUUAACAGAACGACAUUAUUUUACUAUACGAAAUAAGAAGAAUAAUCAAAAAAUUUUGUAUAAAAAUUUACUUUAUAAUUCAGACUCUUCAGAUGUAUCGACAUGUUAUUUUUCGAGUGACCAAGAUGUCUAUAAUAGUACGCAGAAAAAUGCUGCUUUGUCCGAUAGUGUUGAUGAAUCAUCGGGUAAGUUAUGGUUAGAUCAGUUAGAGUGGGGUACAGUGGAUGUGCAAAAUGAACACGACCAGAAUGGCAAAAACGGGAAGGAAAAAAACGGAAAGGAAAAAAGCGGAAAGAACAAAAAACACAACAAGAACAAUUUUUACUACACGUACGACCCCAGGUUCCUCAUUUUUGAAUACAAAAAUAAUUUAGUGAUCAGACGCAAACAAGUAAAGAUGAUUAAAAAAAUGAAAAGAGAUUUUAUAAAAAAAAGGAAACAAUAUUGUUAUCAAAUGAUUAUGGGUGGAGGUAAAACAACUGUAUUAACACCUUUAUAUUUUUUAAUUUUUUCUAACUAUUAUUUAGUUUUUAAUAUGUGCCCUCAGCCAUUAAUUCACUUUACAAUUAAUACAUUUAGAUCUCGUUUUUCUUCUAUCAUAAAAAAAAAUAUUUUUUAUUUUAAUUUUAAUCGUUAUAAUCAUAUUACUACUGAUCUGUACAUAAGUUUAUGUUCCGCUUUAGAAAAUAAAUACAUUUUGGUAACUACACCUACAGCUAUAAAAUCAUUAUUUUUAAAAUUAAUAUAUACAAUACAAGAGUUAAAUAAUAUGAAAAUAUUUGACAUCAUUAAGCAAAAAGCUAAAACACAUAUAACAGAUACAUUAAGCAAAUUGUUAGGUUUUCAGAAUGACGAUGGUUUUUUAAGUACAUCUACGACAGUUAACGUAUUAAAAAAAACAAGUACUGGAAAUCAAAUAGGGAAAGGAAGUAAUGUUACAGCAGGUAUGUCUAAUGUUGGAGGUGCUUCUACUGGUACUGCUAUUGGUGGGGGUAUAUCUGGAAGUAAUAACGCAAGUUCUUCUGAUUAUAACAUGUUAAAAAAACAACUAGAUUUAUCAAUAAGAAUAUUGGAUAUAUUAAAUAAAAGUAUUUUAUUAAUUGAUGAAAUAGAUAGUGUUUUACAUCCGCUGAAAAGUGAGUUACAUUGGCCUUAUGGUGCAAAUCGAGAUAUUGACCUAGUGAAUAUUAUACGAAAUUUUACAGAUGUUUUUAUGAAUAAUCCAUACUUAAAAUUUUUGUAUGACAAAAAAAAUGAUGAAGUUGAUAUAAAA
rnacentral:lncRNA from 1 species